AUUGAUAAUUGUCUGACUUGAUAAAAAAACUGAUAUCCAUCUUCAAUCGAAUGUAUAUAUAUUAACGAAGUGAAGCAUUCACUAGUUUGAAAUACACUAAUAACAUUGGUUCAUUCACCCAAGCUUAUAAUUUACUUCCAAGUAUAUCUUCAUCAUGCUCCGAGGACUUUGUGUAAUUAUUGCAAUCGUGUUGAUAGCAAUAACAAUGACGAUGGCUGCUUCGAGGAAUUGUUCACUCAUUGGAGAAUUUUGCCACACAACCGAAAAUUGUUGUAAACCAUACGUCUGCCUUGGUUAUAUGAAACGUUGUGUAACAUAAUUUCAAAAUUGAAGGAUAAAAAAUAUCUAUCAAUGAUAGUUAAGAAAGCAAUGCAUUGUACGAAUAGCUUUUUUUUUAUUUAGUCAUUCACAAUGCAGCUCCAGGAGUUGUCUGAAUGUUUUUUUGUUCAUUCGUGUGAUUUUUAUUAAUCUUGAGAUUCUUUAUUGUUGAAAGAUUCUUAGAAAAAUCUUAAUGGAAGAGAUUUGAAAUAAUGAUUGUAACAAAAGAAGAAAUCCAAUGUAUUAAAGAAUAAAUCAUGUGAUAAAAAUUUA